CAGGAGGUGGCCAGGUGCUGGGGAAGGCUACCAGGAGGAGGCAGCAUUGGAGCUAGCCUGGGCGGAGGCCAAGAGGGGAUCGGGUACAGCGGCAGAGGUGACAAGUGUGCGAGCUUGGGGCACACGGAAGCCCCAUGUGGCUGCAGGGCAGUAUCCCACGGGACAGCAAGGAGGAGACACCUGCCAGCUUCCUGGUCCUUGAUGCAGACCAGAAAAAAGGAAGAGGAGGAAGAGAAGGAGGAGGAAGAGGAAGAAGAGAAGGAAGAAGAGGAAGAAGAGAUGGAAGAAGGGGAAAGGAGAUCUGGAGCUGUCUCUUUAAAUCUUUCUAGAAGUCCAACAGAAAUAGAACAUUUAUCUGUGUGAAGGCUACACAGGCUUAACUAAAAAUGUCAAGUUUCUUUGCUGGAAUUUUAACAGGGAACAUGAUAAGUGUACAUUUAUUCAGUAAUGAUCAAUUCCGGGUUCUCUUUUGUAUGAGAUGAAAUGGUGACAUGCUGCUCAGAAGCUCUGCUUGGUUUUGUUUCAUACAAAAUCACCUCUUGAAGUUAUAAUUGCUGGAUGAAUGUUAUCUGAUUGUCCUAAACUCUUGCUCUUCUCUCUGUGUUGUGUGCCCUGGGGAGAGGCUACAAAGAUGGGAUAAUAAAAAAGUAAAAUGUUUGCUUUAAAAAAAAUUUUUUUUUUAAUUUUUUUUUUUAGAUAGGGUCAUGGUGGCUCAUGCCUGUAAUCCCAACACUCAGGAGCCUGAGGCAGGAGGAUUGCUGUGACUUCAAGGCUAGGCUGGGCUACAUAGCAAAACCCUGUCCCCAAACAAAACAGGCCAAGGAUUUAACUCAGUGGCACCACACCUGCCUUGCAAGUGCAAGGUCCUGAGUUUGAUGCCUGGUACCAAAACAAAACAAAACAAAAAAAGGAAGGAUUAGAGGUGUGGGCCACCACACCUGUAUCUGUAUUUUACAGAUGAGAAAACUGAGAUCAAGGGGUCUGAUCAGCUCAAGGUCAUGCAGUGAGGUCAAGGUCAUCUGGCGGCAGGGACCGGACCCCAGGCUUCUUGGUGUCCUGGGUGUGGAGCAGGUAGGGAGGAGAAAGAGGUGACUCUUUAACUCACUCUGUCUCUGCAGGUCGGGGCCACCGGCUGCCCGGGAGACAGGAGAGGGGACCCCUGGGAACGGACAGCUGUGUGUGGGAGAGAGCAGGUGGCAGAGCAGGUGCAGGUGACAGCAGGGACCAGGAGGAUGGGAUGGCACAGAGAGGAGCUGGCGCCCCUGCGGCCCUGAGAUUCUGUAGGGCCCUAGACCCUGGCCAGGCUGGGUGCCUGGGA
rnacentral:lncRNA from 1 species